rnacentral:sRNA from 1 species
UACUGUAAGCAGAAAAAGGAAGUCCCGCUAGAACAGGACUUCCCAUGUAGAGCCGUUAAAGACGGUGGCAGAUUUUAACGAUAUUUAAUA